rnacentral:rRNA from 1 species
GACAGAGGGGGCAAGCGUUGCUCGGAAUUACUGGGCGUAAAGGGCGCGUAGGCGGGAUGGCAAGUCGGUCGUGAAAUCCUUCGGCUCAACCGAAGAACGUCGAUCGAUACUGCUGUUCUUGAGGGUUGCAGAGGAGACUGGAAUUCCCGGUGUAGCGGUGAAAUGUGUAGAGAUCGGGAGGAACACCCGUGGCGAAGGCGGCUCUCUGGGACGGUACUGACGCUGAGACGCGAAAGCGUGGAGAGCGAACAGG